GAAAGGAAUACAUUUAAUAAAAAUAUGAAUGCAACAUAUUGAUGUAUACACUUAAGGAAGAUAUUCCGAGGACCAAGAGAGUUCUUCAUUCUAAAUUGUCAACUUUAAAAUAAAAUACCCAGUUAUUAUACUAGCAAAAUGACUUUAUUUGAAAAUAGCAAAAGAAUUACAAUUCAGGACAUGCAAACAUUGGUGAACCACAGGCAAAUCCACAGAACAAAACAGGGGAGCUUGUUUUUAUAGAGAAAAAGGGAGAAUGGGGACGAGUUGUUCUGAAGGAAAGUCCACUGGGAGAAAGUAACAGUUCAGGGCGGCAAUGGCUUCUCAUUGGCUGAGCCGUGGCAUUUUACCUUGCCUUAGCUUGUUGCUGGGCAAGAAGAAAAUCUUCCUUCCUCUUCCUAGAGUAAAGUAGUAGGAAACAUCCUGAUGGGGACACAAGAUUCAGUCCCUUCCUCUUUGGGGUAAUCAACAGUGAGUGGUAGAUAUUGUGAGAAUCCCAACAUUAAUUUUACUUGAGAUUUCCAUUAUUAACGUUCACAAAGUGUAGCAGAGUUUAUCAGGGAUGCUCAGGGUCAAAUUUCAUGAAAAAAAAAUAGAUGGAAGAUUCACAAGUUAGAAAACCAGGAGUUAUCAUGAUGAAGAUGAGAAAAGAGCAUGCACUUCUCUGAGUGGAAAUGAGUGAACAUGGGAAAAAAGUAAUAUGGAAAAAGGAGAAUGGCAGCAGAUGUAUGAAAGAAGUUAGUUGGACACAAGGCAAAAAAAGGUGGAAAUAAGAAAAUGUUGAAAUAUACAGUAACAUAUUUUGCAUCUAUAUAUGAACUACAUAUAAUCUACAUCUGUAUCUAUAUUCUAUAUCUAUAUAUAUACACAAAGAGAGGACAAAGUAACACAGGCUUCAUUCAUCUCAAGAGAGAGAAAGAAAUAAGAGGCCAGUCUCGGGGUCAACAGUGGCCCUCUGGAGCAGCUGCAUGUAGGUGAGGUUCUCGUGCGUGUUGGGGUCGAAGAAGCCCUUGGUGUCGUCGCUCGGGUCCGCCAGCACGCGGUUCAUCUCCUCGUCGAAGUAGCCGCGCUGGUAGGCCACCUCCACGGGCACGCGGUGGCUGUGCACGGGGUCGAUGACGCCGCCCGUGGCGAUCUGGGCCUCCAGCAGGCGGAUGCCGUGGUCCCUCACGAUGAGGUCCUUCUUCAUGGCCUGGAAGAGGGAGAUCUGCUCCCCGGUGUAGGGGUCGGUGUAGCCGGUGACGGCGCGCUCGGCCGACAGCAGCUUGUCCUGGAUCUCGCCGCCCACCACGCCCGCGGCCACCGCCUCCUCCACGGACAGCCUCUGGUUGCCCACGGGGUCGAUGACGAAGCCGGUGGCGGCCUGCGCCUCCAGCAGCACCAGGGCCGUGCCGGGCCGCAGGACGCCCUUCCACAUGGCCUGGUAGAUGCUCAUCUUCUCCUGCCGCCCGGGCUGGUCCUUGGCGGGCACCAGCACGCCCGCGAUGCAGCUCGUGCCCUCCAGGUAGCGCUUGACCGAGUCCAUCUCCGUCACCUCCUGCAGGGUCUUCGUGCCCUGGGCCAGGUCCCGCAGGGUCUCGGGGCCCAGGAUCCCGGACGUGCGCAGCUCGGACGCGGACACCUGGCGCCUC
rnacentral:lncRNA from 1 species